rnacentral:rRNA from 1 species
UGGGGGAUAUUGCACAAUGGGCGAAAGCCUGAUGCAGCGACGCCGCGUGGGGGAUGAAGGCUUUCGGGUUGUAAACCUCUUUCGCUAUCGAACAAGGCCCGCUUAGGGUGGGUUGAGGGUAGGUGGAGAAGAAGCGCCGGCUAACUACGUGCCAGCAGCCGCGGUAAUACGUAGGGCGCGAGCGUUGUCCGGAAUUAUUGGGCGUAAAGGGCUUGUAGGCGGCUUGUUGCGCCUGCUGUGAAAACGCGGGGCUUAACUCCGCGCGUGCAGUGGGUACGGGCAGGCUUGAGUGUGGUAGGGGUGACUGGAAUUCCAGGUGUAGCGGUGGAAUGCGCAGAUAUCUGGAGGAACACCGAUGGCGAAGGCAGGUCACUGGGCCAUUACUGACGCUGAGGAGCGAAAGCAUGGGUAGCGAACAGG